rnacentral:tRNA from 1 species
UGGGGUGUAGCUCAGUGGUAGAGCACUUGACUAGCCAUCCAUGAGAUCCUGGGUUCAAUUCCCAGGACCACAA